GGAUUAGGCAUGCAAGUCGUACGGGCACCUUCGGGUGUCAGUGGCGGACGGGUGAGUAACGCAUAGAUAACCUACCCUUGAAAUGGGGACAACUUUUCGAAAGGAAAGCUAAUACCCAAUAACGUGAAUGGCCACAGGGUCGUUCACCAAAGAUAGCCUCUGACUCAAGCUUUCGUUCAAGGAGGGGUUUAUGUCCUAUUAGCUUGUUGGUGAGGUAAUGGCUCACCAAGGCGACGAUGGGUAGCCGACCUGAGAGGGUGACCGGCCACACUGGGACUGAGACACUGCCCAGACUCCUACGGGAGGCUGCAGUCGAGAAUCUUCCGCAAUGCGCGAAAGCGUGACGGAGCGACGCCGCGUGGGCGAUGAAGGCUUUCGGGUUGUAAAGCCCUGUCACCUACUAUGAAAAGCGGGCGGUGAAUAGCUGUCCCGUUUGACGUAAGUAGGAAAGGAAGCACCGGCUAAAUACGUGCCAGCAGCCGCGGUAAUACGUAUGGUGCGAACGUUGUUCGGAUUCACUGGGCAUAAAGAGCGCGUAGGCGGUUGGGUAAGUCCAAUGUGAAAUCCCCCGGCUUAACCGGGGAACUGCAUCGGAUACUGCCGAACUAGAGUGCAGGAGGGGAGAGUGGAAUUCCUGGUGGAGCGGUGAAAUGCGUAGAUAUCAGGAGGAACGCCGGUGGCGAAAGCGACUCUCUGGCCUGCAACUGACGCUGAGGCGCGAAAGCUAGGGGAGCGAACGGGAUUAGAUACCCCGGUAGUCCUAGCCCUAAACGAUGGGCACUAAGUAGAGGGGUUUU
rnacentral:rRNA from 1 species